ACUCUCGAUCAAUGACGUGCCCAAGUUUAGAUCUCUCGGUAAAUGAUUGCCGUUUAAAACACUUUUCCUUGCCCUUUCCUACCAUCGACUCUGACAGCAGCAGAAUUACAGUAAGGUUCCAGAUCCUUGCGUAGUAUUUGAUAGCUCCAUUGUUCAGUGUUUGAAUUUGUGGACUGGCUUUUACAGAGAACAUGGUCCCCCACUCAAACUGCCCAACAAAAAAGUUGAGUUGGAGCCUGUCCACAAGAAAGCUGCUGUGUGGCAACCCCUUUACACCAAAAGGGCUAGGCUGGCUCAAGCCUAGACUUCUGUCAUCCACCUGCGAAGGAAGAUUCACUGUAGGAGCUGGGAGCUGAUACCUAUCCAAUAUGGAUUUAUCACCUUGCUGCUCUGGCCGUGAUUCUGGCACAUGGUCCUCUGGGUUUUUUUUCUUUACUCACUAUAAGUCAAUGAUUGCUUGAGUUUUUGGACAGUGCAA